GGAUCCAGACUUUGAUUAUGGCUCAGGAUGAACGCUGGCGGCGUGCUUAACACAUGCAAGUCGAACGAAGCACUUUAUUUGAUUUCCUUCGGGACUGAUUAUUUUGUGACUGAGUGGCGGACGGGUGAGUAACGCGUGGGUAACCUGCCUUGUACAGGGGGAUAACAGUUGGAAACGGCUGCUAAUACCGCAUAAGCGCACAGCAUCGCAUGAUGCAGUGUGAAAAACUCCGGUGGUAUAAGAUGGACCCGCGUUGGAUUAGCUAGUUGGUGAGGUAACGGCCCACCAAGGCGACGAUCCAUAGCCGACCUGAGAGGGUGACCGGCCACAUUGGGACUGAGACACGGCCCAAACUCCUACGGGAGGCAGCAGUGGGGAAUAUUGCACAAUGGGCGAAAGCCUGAUGCAGCGACGCCGCGUGAGCGAAGAAGUAUUUCGGUAUGUAAAGCUCUAUCAGCAGGGAAGAUAAUGACGGUACCUGACUAAGAAGCACCGGCUAAAUACGUGCCAGCAGCCGCGGUAAUACGUAUGGUGCAAGCGUUAUCCGGAUUUACUGGGUGUAAAGGGAGCGCAGGCGGUGCGGCAAGUCUGAUGUGAAAGCCCGGGGCUCAACCCCGGUACUGCAUUGGAAACUGUCGUACUAGAGUGUCGGAGGGGUAAGCGGAAUUCCUAGUGUAGCGGUGAAAUGCGUAGAUAUUAGGAGGAACACCAGUGGCGAAGGCGGCUUACUGGACGAUAACUGACGCUGAGGCUCGAAAGCGUGGGGAGCAAACAGGAUUAGAUACCCUGGUAGUCCACGCUGUAAACGAUGAAUACUAGGUGUUGGGAAGCAUUGCUUCUCGGUGCCGUCGCAAACGCAGUAAGUAUUCCACCUGGGGAGUAA
rnacentral:rRNA from 1 species